rnacentral:rRNA from 1 species
ACGCGAAAGUUUCCUUCGGAAAUGAGUAGAGUGGCGCACGGGUGAGUAACGCGUGGAUUAUCUACCUAUUGGUACGGGACAACAGUUGGAAACGACUGCUAAUACCGUAUAAGCUGGAAACGGGAAAGGGGGCCUCUUCUUGAAAGCUCUCGCCAGUAGAUGAGUCCGCGUUUCAUUAGCUAGACGGUGGGGUAACGGCCUACCGUGGCAACGAUGAAUAGCAGGCCUGAGAGGGUGGCCUGCCACACUGGGACUGGAACACGGCCCAGACUCCUACGGGAGGCAGCAGUGGGGAAUAUUGCGCAAUGGACGAAAGUCUGACGCAGCGACGCCGCGUGGAGGAUGAAGGUUUUCGGAUCGUAAACUCCUGUCAAGAGGGAAGAAACCUAUUAAGAUUAAUACUCUUGGUAAUUGACGGUACCUCUAGAGGAAGCACCGGCUAAUUCAGUGCCAGCAGCCGCGGUAAUACUGAAGGUGCAAGCGUUAAUCGGAAUCACUGGGCGUAAAGCGCUCGUAGGUGGCUUUGUAAGUCAGGUGUGAAAGCCCACGGCUCAACCGUGGAAUUGCACUUGAUACUGCAUCGCUAGAGUAUAGGAGAGGGAAGUGGAAUUUCUGGUGUAGGAGUGAAAUCCGUAGAGAUCAGAAGGAACACCCGUGGCGAAGGCGACUUCCUGGACUAUUACUGACACUGAGGAGCGAAAGCGUGGGGAGCAAACAGGAUUAGAUACCCUGGUAGUCCACGCCGUAAACGAUGGGUACUAGGUGUUGGGGGCUUGACCCUCGGUGCCGUAGUUAACGCGUUAAGUACCCCGCCUGGGGAGUACGGUCGCAAGGCUGAAACUCAAAGA